CCUGAAAGUUACUGCCCCUUUCUACGGAAGAUACCAACCUUUUCCUAGAAAUUUCUGCAUAAUCCCCCCUUAAUUUGCAUGUAAGUCAAAGUGGGUAUAAGUAUGACUGCAGUCCUGCCUCGGAGCUGCUAUUCUGGGCACACUGCCUAUAGGGUAGCGCUGUUCCACAGUACCAGUACCUCUGCUGCUGCUUCACUAAAAGUCGCUAACACCUCCGGCUCACCCUUGAAUUCUUUCCUAGGUGAAGCCAAGAACUCUCCCAGGCUAAUCCCCAAUUUUAAGACUCGCCUGUCCUGCAUCACUAGGGCAUAAACGUGACAGAUCUGCCACUUAGACACACCCACAUAAGACUGAUUCAGGUCCCAAGGCUGUCAUCUGUGGUGGCAGGAGGUUCAUCCCACCUGCAGCCAGUGGAACCUUCGGAAACAGUCCUCCUCUAUUUUAUUGCCGACCCUCCAGAGACUUUAGAAAGCAGCUCUACAGGCUGGAUACCUCUCAACCUGACCUCUGGAGACUGCAAGGCCCAAGUGUAGGAAAGGAUAUGGCUACUCACCAAUCUUUUUUUUUUCUUUGAGACAGAAUCUUGCUCUGUCACCUAGGCUGGAGUGCGGUGGUGUGAUCUCGGCUCACUGCAACCUCCGCCUCCCAGGUUCUAAUGAUCCUAAUGAUCCUUUUGCCUCAGCCUCCUGAGUAGCUGGGAUUACAGAUGCAUGCCACCACGCCUGGCUAAUUUUUUUUUUUCAGUAGCGAUGGGGUUUCACCAUGUUGGCCAGGCAGGUCUUGAACUCCUGACCUCGAGUGAUCUGCUCGCCUCAGCCUCCCAAAGUGCUGGGAUUACAGGCGUGAGCCACCGUGCCUGGCAGCUACUCAACGAUCUUUCCAGCUCUCCUCUCCUUCCGGCCACACAGGAGGGUUGCACGUCCACACCCCCCUGAAGUAAGGCAUGAUGCCAGAACUUGCUUUGGAUGAUGACACAGAAACAGCAGUGAUACACCACUUCUGGAUGGCAGCACUGAAGAGCCAAGGUGCCUGAGUCAGCAUCUCUGUUAUCUGGCCCCUUCUGACCUCCCCUGCCUGCCGAGGGAGUCCAUACUGCUCAUCACAGCAUCCCCAGGGCUCAGCACUUAAGUGGGAGCACCGGUCCCUGCUGUCCCGGAGCUCCUGUGGCUCCAUGCCUGGUGCUCAUGGGAAACCACACCUGCACAGGCCCUGGCCUCCUGUGGCCAUUGCCUUCAGGACUUCUCCUCUUUCAUGCCCCUCUGCAUCUGACCCAAGACCCACCUAUUUGCCCAUCCCCCAUCCCCCACCGCUGCCCUUGCCU